UUCAGCCGCCCCUUGGGGCGUUCCUCCCUGACUUGGCCGCGCGUAACAUUCGCGCGGCCUUUUUUCUGCAUCCG
rnacentral:sRNA from 1 species